UACGUAGGUGGCAAGCGUUUGUCCGGAAUUAUUGGGCGUAAAGCGCGCGCAGGCGGUCCUUUAAGUCUGAUGUGAAAGCCCACGGCUCAACCGUGGAGGGUCAUUGGAAACUGGGGACUUGAGUGCAGGAGAGAAGAGUGGAAUUCCACGUGUAGCGGUGAAAUGCGUAGAGAUGUGGAGGAACACAGUGGCGAAGGCGACUCUUUGGUCUGUAACUGACGCUGAGGCGCGAAAGCGUGGGGAGCAAACAGG
rnacentral:rRNA from 1 species